UUGUUCGGAUUCACAAUGCGAAAGGGUGUAAAAUUGCUCAGUAGUGAAUGGUUCAGAUUUUGUGGUUUUUGCUGAGUAACAACAGAAGAGAUUGCGUCAUGUACGAAGCAGUGUGUAUGAACUGAAAAGAUCAAGUACGGUUGUUACCUUUGACUGAUUGAUUACCCGGAAACACUUGAAUAGCUGACAACAGAAUCACGUCUAGACACGAAAGGUUGUGGCCAUGCUGGGAAACCGCCACAGCUAAGAAACAAACAAGUACACGAGAAUAAAUAGUUGGAUGUACACACGUCCGCACACCACACAGAGAGAAACACUUCAACACUUACAAAGUGCGCCAUGGACAGAAUGACUGUGAAAGGGAUAGGACGAGAGAAACGUAAAGGAAAAGGAUGAAGACACCGAUGGUAAAAAGCCCGAAAUUUUGGGGGAGGGGCCAGUCGAUUAGAUCGAACCGCCGUACGCCAC